GAUGAACGCUAGCGGGAGGCCUAGCACAUGCAAGCCGAGCGGUAUUUGUUCUUCGGAACAGAGAGAGCGGCGCACGGGUGCGGAACACGUGUGCAACCUGCCUUUAUCUGGGGGAUAGCCUUUCGAAAGGAAGAUUAAUACCCCAUAAUAUAUUGAGUGGCAUCACUUGAUAUUGAAAACUCCGGUGGAUAGAGAUGGGCACGCGCAAGAUUAGAUAGUUGGUGAGGUAACGGCUCACCAAGUCAAUGAUCUUUAGGGGGCCUGAGAGGGUGAUCCCCCACACUGGUACUGAGACACGGACCAGACUCCUACGGGAGGCAGCAGUGAGGAAUAUUGGACAAUGGGUUAGCGCCUGAUCCAGCCAUCCCGCGUGAAGGACGACGGCCCUAUGGGUUGUAAACUUCUUUUGUAUAGGGAUAAACCUACUCUCGUGAGAGUAGCUGAAGGUACUAUACGAAUAAGCACCGGCUAACUCCGUG
rnacentral:rRNA from 1 species